rnacentral:rRNA from 1 species
UACGGGGGGGGCAAGCGUUGUUCGGAAUUACUGGGCGUAAAGGGCUCGUAGGCGGCCAACUAAGUCAGACGUGAAAUCCCUCAGCUUAACUGGGGAACUGCGUCUGAUACUGGAUGGCUUGGAUCCGGGAGAGGGAUGCGGAAUUCCAGGUGUAGCGGUGAAAUGCGUAGAUAUCUGGAGGAACACCGGUGGCGAAGGCGGCAUCCUGGACCGGUAUUGACGCUGAGGAGCGAAAGCCAGGGGAGCAAAGCGGG